UACAGAGGGUGCGAGCGUUAAUCGGAAUUACUGGGCGUAAAGCGCGCGUAGGCGGCUUUUCAAGUCGAUUGUGAAAUCCCCGGGCUUAACCUGGGAACUGCAGUCGAGACUGUCUAGCUAGAGUAUGGGAGAGGGAAGUGGAAUUCCCGGUGUAGCGGUGAAAUGCGCAGAUAUCGGGAGGAACACCAAUGGCGAAGGCAGCUCGCUGGGACGUUACUGACGCUGAGACGCGAAAGCGUGGGGAGCAAACAGG
rnacentral:rRNA from 1 species